UACGGGGGGGGGCAAGCGUUGUUCGGAAUUACUGGGCGUAAAGGGCUCGUAGGCGGCCAUCUUAGUCUGACGUGAAAUCCCUCGGCUUAACCGGGGAACUGCGUCGGAUACUGGAUGGCUCGAAUCCGGGAGAGGGAUGCGGAAUUCCAGGUGUAGCGGUGAAAUGCGUAGAUAUCUGGAGGAACACCGGUGGCGAAGGCGGCAUCCUGGACCGGUAUUGACGCUGAGGAGCGAAAGCCAGGGGAGCAAAGCGGG
rnacentral:rRNA from 1 species